CCUAAAAAAUCUCAUUAGUCUCUCAUUAUCUCCUGCUUCGCUGCUCCCGCUCAAAUCGUCGAUGGCACCGGCAGCCAUCUUCAAUUUUCAGUUUUCCACGUCGGUCACCGAGAUCUGAGCUGGGUUUUUAAGGUUUUGAUUUAGAUUUUUGAAUCUAAAAGAUUUGUGUUCUUUGAGGAAUUUGGGGCUUAUAAAUUGUAAAUUUCUCGGUUAAAGCUAAAAGAUUAGGUGUUGUGGUGGUUUUUAGCUGAAAUGUGGUUGAUGAUCAGUUCAAGAUUUGGCAUAUGAAUUUCUUGGAAAUCAAAUUUUGGCUUGGGGGAGGGGGAGGCUUCAAUGGGGACAGUUGGAUGAAAAAGAAAAUAAGCUUUCAUAUCAAAAAAAUAAGCUUUCAUAUCCCUCUUUUCUCUGUGAUAAGAAUUGCUUGAAUUCUGAACUUUGGCAUGCAUGUCCUAAUCGUCUCAUUUCUCUACCUGUUGUUGGGAGCCAUGUGGUAUAUUUUCUGCAGGGUCACAGUGAACAGGGUACAUUCUACAACGAGGUUCACAUUAAUUGGUAUCGAAUCUUCCACUCUGAAAUCAGAAUUUAAGUCUCCAAAGCAAUCAUUGUCAUAUUGAUCGACAAGGACAAAAAGUUCGCUAUCAAGAAUUCCACAUUACAAAUCGAACUCACAAUGAAGGUAGAGAUGAAAUUAGAGCAUUCAAGUCAAAUCAUUCAAGACAAGAGCUACAGAAGUCAAACGUCAAAGGAAGCUCAAUUAUCUAGACACUUCUCUAUUUAUCUA